AGCUCCAAUGGCGUAUAUUAAAGUUGUUGCAGUUAAAAAGCUCGUAGUUGCAUUUCCGAGGCAAGGGAUUAGUCCGACCUUUGGUGGGUAUUUAAUCCUCUUGCCUCGUCCUUGAGUGGUGCUUCUUGGUAUUAAGUUAUCGAGGAGAUAGCCGCUCAUCGUUUACUGUGAGAAAAUUAGAGUGUUCAAAGCAGGCUUAUGCCGUUGAAUAUAUUAGCAUGGAAUAAUAAGAUAGGACCUCGGUACUAUUUUGUUGGUUUGAGAACCAAGGUAAUGAUGAAUAGGGACAGUUGGGGGUAUUCGUAUUCAGUUGUCAGAGGUGAAAUUCUUAGAUUUACGGAAGACGAACUACUGCGAAAGCAUUUACCAAGGAUGUUUUCA
rnacentral:rRNA from 1 species